GACGAACGCUGGCGGCGUGCCUAAUACAUGCAAGUCGAACGCAGUGGGGACGGGUGAGUAACACGUGGGUAACCUCCCCUCAAAGGGGAUAACACUUGGAAACAGGUGCUAAACCCAUACUGAUGUAUUGCCCCGCGGUGCAUUAGCUAGUGGGUGAGGUAACGGCUCACCAAGGCGACGAUGCCUAGCCGACCUGAGAGGGUGAUCGGCCACACUGGGACUGAGACACGGCCCAGACUCCUACGGGAGGCAGCAGUAGGGAAUAUUACGCAAUGGACGAAAGUCUGACCGAGCGACGCCGCGUGAGUGAAGAAGGUUUUCGGGUCGUAAAACGCUGUUGUUAGAGAGGCGGUAUCUAACCAGAAAGCCACGGCUAACUACGUGCCAGCAGCCGCGGUAAUUC
rnacentral:rRNA from 1 species